AUUUUAUGUAUGUUUCAAAAUCUUUUAGUUGAUGUUAAAAUCAUAUUUUUCAUGGGGAGUGUGUUUUAUUUUAUUUUAUUUUAUCUUCUUUUGAGUACUCUUUUAUUUGGUUUUUUACAGAUAUUUGUUUUAUUUUAUGUAUGUUUCACAAGUGGGGCGUCGUGUAAGAUGACUUCUUUUUAAUCACAUAUAACUCUAGUUAUUCUUCAUAAGCAACUUUUGAAUUGUGCUUUCAUACUUACUUUCAGUUUUCAUUCUGGCACUCUGUAUAAUGUCGAAAGGCAUGAAAAAAUAUUGAAUGACAAUAAAUCCUUAGAACUCACAUUGAAUCAUUCAGACACAAUCAUAAGGAAAAAGUUCAUAUAGGAAAUUAAAAAUGACAGAAUUCAACAGAAUUCAAGACAAGGACAGCGUGUUAGAAAAUUUUAGGUGAACUCAUUCAAAUUUUAGAGGGGUAGGGAAGAAAAGACUAAACCCUAAAAUACACCAUAAAAUUCCUAGUUUAUCAAAACUCUUCACUUUUAUAUUUUCUUAAAAUAAUUUCAUAAAAUUUCAUAAUCGAAUACACCUCUAAUUGUAUAAAUUUCUUUAAAAUUCUGAUUAAAUACACUAGAAUUUCUAUGAAUUUUAUAAACUCUUUCAAUCUUAAUUGGAGAUGGAUUUUUUCAUGUGCCCAAAACAAAGGCCGAUACACUGAAAAAAUUCUUCUAAACUUUCACGAAUUCAUUUAUAUUCCUGUUUGCAAUUAGCCAAAAAUUCAAUAUAUACUAAAACCCAUUUUGGCUUGAAACACUGUUCAUAAGCAC
rnacentral:lncRNA from 1 species